UACGUAGGGUGCGAGCGUUAAUCGGAUUUACUGGGCGUAAAGCGUGCGCAGGCGGCCCGUUAAGACAGGUGUGAAAUCCCUGGGCUCAACCUAGGAAUUGCGCUUGUGACUGGCGGGCUCGAGUACGGUAGAGGGGGGCGGAAUUCCUGGUGUAGCAGUGAAAUGCGUAGAGAUCAGGAGGAACACCGAUGGCGAAGGCAGCCCCCUGGGCCUGUACUGACGCUCAUGCACGAAAGCGUGGGGAGCAAACAGG
rnacentral:rRNA from 1 species